GGAUGGCAAGAAGUGAAUCCGUGGAUAAGGCGCUGGUCUGCGGAACCAGAGAUUCUGGGUUUGAUCCCCAGCAGAAUCG